rnacentral:rRNA from 1 species
ACACGUCUACAUUAGAUACCCGCGUAGUCCCAGCCGUAAACUAUGCGCGUUAGGUGUAUCGGUGACCACGAGUUACCGAGGUGCCGAAGGGAAACCGUGAAACGUGCCGCCUGGGAAGUACGGUCGCAAGGCUGAAACUUAAAGGAAUUGCGGGGAGCACCACAACAGGUGGAGCCUGCGGUUUAAUUGGACUCAACGCCGGGAAGCUCACCGGAUAAGACAGCGGAAUGAUUGCCGGGCUGAAGACUCUGCAUGACUAGCUG